rnacentral:rRNA from 1 species
AACGAACGCUAGCGGCAGGCCUAACAUAUGCAAGUCGAGCGAAGCCUUCGGGCUUAGCGGCGGACGGGUGAGUAACGCGUGGGAACGUGCCCUUUGGUACGGAAUAGCUCCGGGAAACUGGGAGUAAUAACGUAUGUGGUCGAGAGACGAAAGAUUUAUCGCCAAAGGAACGGACCGCGUUGGAUUAGGUAGUUGGUGCGAGAAUGGCCUACCAAGCCCACGAUCCAUAGGUGGUUUGAGCGGAAGAACAGCCACACUGGAACUGAGACACGGCCCGGACUCUUACGAGAGGAAGCAGUGGGCAUUCCUGGAAAAUUGGAGAUACCCUUAUCUAGCCAUGCCGCGUGACCGAUGAAGGCCUUAGGGUCGAAAAAGUCUUUCAGUGGGGAAGAUAAUGACUGUACCCACAGAAGAAGCCCCGGCUAACUCCGUGCCAGCAGCCGCAGUAAUAC